rnacentral:rRNA from 1 species
GGAGGGGAAGAUGAAGAGGGAAUUUAGUAGGAACCGUAGGGAUUGUCGCUGGCCUUUGGAAACAAACGCAUGUGCACAUCUCGAAAGUCUUACUUAGUACCUCGAUCUCUUUCCUUUUGUGAACCCCUUUUCUUACACCUGUGCACCCAUUGUAGGUCCCGCGAGGGAUCCUAUGUCUCUAUCUACUCUUAAAUGUAUGGCCUAGAAUGUCUUGAAACGUCGUCUGGCCUGGCUAACGCUUGGUUGGCGGCAGUAAAGAACCUUAUACAACUUUCAGCAACGGAUCUCUUGGCUCUCGCAUCGAUGAAGAACGCAGCGAAUUGCGAUACGUAAUGUGAAUUGCAGAUUUUCAGUGAAUCAUCGAAUCUUUGAACGCACCUUGCGCUCCUUGGUAUUCCGAGGAGCAUGCCUGUUUGAGUGUCAUUAAAUUCUCAACCAUCCUUUGAUUUAUUUCGACGGUUGGCUUGGAUCUUGGGAGCUGCCGGCGACUCACUGGGGUCUUGUCGGCUCUCCUUAAAAGUAUUAGCAAAUGGUGUGAUGAGCUUCGUGCAUGAACGGCCUUUGACGUGAUAAUGAUCGUCGUGGCUGGAGUGCCUCGAGAGGCUUAGAUCGUCUUUGCUUCUAAUCUUGAAUUGUAGAGGGAGGGGAACUCUGCUCCGGCGGAUGAAACUUUCCUUUACUUUCUUUUUGACUUUUGACCUCAAAUCAGGUAGGACUACCCGCUGAACUUAAGCAUAUCAAUAAGCGGAGGRAAAAGAAACUAACAAGGAUUCCCCUAGUAACUGCGAGUGAAGCGGGAAGAGCUCAAAUUUUGAAUCUGGCGGUCCYUUGUGGCCGUCCGAGUUGUAAUCUAGAGAAGCGUUUUCCGCGCUGGRACCGUGUACAA